CACUUUGAUCUUUGCUACAAUCCAUUUAGUACAGAGACUUCAUAAGUUUCUCAAAUUAGUGAAGAAGCAAGAAACAAAACAGGUGAACCUAAACAUGGUAUUGGGAAUAUGAACUCUAAUACACUACUACUAUAAUGAGUUUCCAUCUAUUCGUCUUAUUUCCAUUUGGAUGUCCUUGUCUUGUCUCUGCCUAUGAUGCUUAUCUAACUAGUUCAAUACACACUUUGAUGCAAGGAUGCACAACUUAAGCUUGGGUGUUGCACUUCUGUCUCAAGAAAGCUUUUGCUUCCGCUUUCUGCUCCAAGGCCCUAUGCGAGCAGACCAUACAUCAUAAGGGUUGGCCACAAAUAUAAGAACCUGGCAGAGGGUGGUUUUAUGUUCUAUUGUUUCUAACCCAAUGCCCUGUGGUUUUAAUGCGGAUGACACCAAGCCAUUUGACCAGCUGUCUCCUUAGUGGUGUUGGUUGUUUAUUCAUGUGCCAUGCUUCUUCAUUUGAACAACUUCCAUAGGACUAAUUGAGCUUUUGGGUCCAAAUGCCAUUCUUGCACUAAUGGAAUCAUGUGCGGGCUAUCAUAGUCUCGUGCUGUGGCUGAUUCCAUGGUCGUACAUUGGCUGUUAUUUCCAUUAGCUGUGACAAUGAGGCUACCUGCGGUUUUGGGCCAUUGUUGCCCGGCCAUCUUCAAGUUGACUUUGGAGAUCAGGUUGCGCUGGAGAGAUUUUUUAAAAAAAAUGGAGAGUGGUUGCUGGAUUCCUUUUUGAACCUAUUCAAGGAGAGGCUGGGGUAUGUAUGACUGAUGAUCUUGAUCAAUUAUAAUAAGAAGGUUAUCUUUUUUAGGGAUGGAACUGUUUUAGAUUGAAAUGUUGAGGACUUAUCUUGGCCUUGUUUGGUGCCAUACUUUCUUCCUCUGUGGCUAGCGGUAUUCAUAUGUAUGGAAGUUUAUGUUGUGCGCAAAUAUUUGUUUCAGCUCUAUGCAACCUCUUGUAUUUGUUGGGCCUAACCAACAACUCGAAGAGCAUUUGUGAUUCAAAUAUCCCAAAUGGACAACUUUCUUUGAUUCGCUUUCUUGAUUGUAAGAACUGUGUGUCUGUCUUCUUAAAUUAGUCAGUUGUCAGACUCUUGACUCCUGUUUCACAUAGAAAUCAGGUCAACUAUAAUCUAAUAUGACCUAAAAAGUUCGGGCUCUGAGAUUGAGUUCUCUCUUAGUUCCUUCUUCCCCUCACCCCAAAGUUUUAUAUUAUUUUUGCCACAUCAUUCGCAGUUUAUGCUUCCUCCAGAUGGUUAUUUGAGGGCUGUCAGAGACCUUUGCUCAAAGUAUAAUAUUUUAAUGAUUGCUGAUGAGAUACAAACUGGCUUUAGCAAGGACAAGGUAAACUGCUGGCAUGUGACUGGGAAGGAGUUCGCCCUGAUGUAGUGAUUUUGGGGAAAGCACUGGGUGGUGGAGUGAUACCUGUUAGUGCAGUGCUUGCAGAUAAAGAGGUAAUGCUCUGCAUUCGACCUGGAGAGCAUGGAAUGU